GCUGCUUUUGAAAAAUAGGUUACUGCCAUUUAGUUGAUGACGGAAACAGAAGCCAAGAAGAGUGCAAAUUGUAAACUGACGUGCAUAAGCCAAACGUAUUCUCUCAAAUGACAACGUUCAAGACGCAGCUAAAGUCCCCACUCGGGCGGUAAGCGUGUUACAAAGAACUAGAUCUCUUUCUGGCAUCCGCAACUUGGCCGGAGUGACCACGGAGGAGUUGAAGAGCGCUGGAAACGCUAGGUUCCUCGCCGGUCACCUGAGGGCUGCGGCCCUGGGUCAGGUUCUUGGCUCCCAGUCACUCAUUCCAAGGCUGUCACAGUCCAUGCAUGGGCACUUGGAAACCACAUUUCUAGGUACUGAGGAUGUCUUGGGAUCUGUCUUGAGGUCACUGUCUCAACAAUUCCUGUGGAAUCCUGGGGGGAUGACCCUGUUAUGGGUUGAAUUGUGUUCUCUAAAAGGAUAUGCUGGGAGUCCUAACCCCUGGUACCUGCGCAUAUGACCUUAUUUGCAAAUAGGGCCUUCGCAGAUGUAAUCAAGUGAAGCUGAGAUCGUUGGGUGGGCCCUCAUCCAAUAUGACCAGUGACCUUACAAGAAGAUGGAAAUUUGCUCAUAGACAUGCACCAAGGGGUGACAAUGUGAAGACACAGAAGGAAGAAGGCCAUACGAAGACAGAAGCAGAGAUUGGAGCCACGAGGCCACAAGCCAAGGAACGCCCGGGGCUACCAGAAGUGGGGAGAGACAAGGAAGCAUCCUUGUCUAGCGGCUUCAGAGGGAGCGUGACUUUGCCUGUGCCUUGAUUUUGGACUUCUACCUUCUAGAACUGUGAAACAACAAACUUCUAUUGCUUCGAGCCACCCAGUUUGGGGCACUUUGUUCGAGCAGCCUUCGAAAACUAAUAUCAACUUCGGUGUCUGCUCAGGACAGAAUGGCGACCACGGAGAAUUCUGGACGGGGCGGAGGAAGAGAUUGCUCCCUUCUGUACUCUGAGCGGCAGCAAAGGGCUAUGACCAAUGCCCUCCUGGAUGCAGAAGGAGGCACUGGCCUCAUUAUAUGCAUACACCAUGACUGCUGUCUUAAACUCCAAUACUGCUGAACAAUUCAGAAAUAGAUCCAUUAUAGGUCUGCUUUAGCCCCAGGGCUUUAACACGGGUCACUAGAAAAUCCAAGAUUGCACAGUAAUUCAAACUCUUAAGAGGGAAAGGAAAAAAAAAAUUCUCUUCAGCACUCCCGCCCACCCAGAGUCCCUCCCUCCAGCAUCACAGGGAGCCCCUCUUCAUUUCUGUAGUGCUUUAGAAUAAAUAGCUCUUAUGUUGAACUUGAAAUCUAAAUUUUUCGCCAGCUAUUAAUUGAUAAGAGAAGCUCGUUUUACCUCUCAUGCUCUGUAGUAAGAUUACGGUGUAAAUAAACUGGGUCAGGUUUAGCAGGAUGGAGGUGAACUGUUCUCUAAUUCCCCUUAAUCUCUGGUAAAGGAAUAACUAGGAUUUGAACGUCAACAUUCAAUAAGCAAUUACGGCACUCCUUCAAACACGAUCCAAAUUAGUCUGCUGUUCCCUCAAAUAGAAUCCAAAGGACCUCCAAACCGCGCUCUUCGAUUGCAACCUCCUUGUUUUGUUCUCACCGGUGAGAGGAGUCAGGAUUGCAGGAGGGAUUUGAUUUGAUUUAUAUUAAUUUUUAGAGUAUCAGGGAUCUCUUGUUUUACUUGAAACAGAUCAGGGAACGGGGUCAGUAAACAAGGGUUUUCUCGACUACUGAUCUCGACUACUGAUCACUCAGCAUUUCAUGAGGCUGGCUUCUAGCUUUCACAGUGCAUUAGAAUCAUUAUCUAAUUAUUAAUCUCACCCUAGAGUUCUGAGGAGCUUAUGACACCCGUUGAAGUUAAUGAAGGCUUUUACCUGUGGAUCUGGCACUAAAUCGCUGUGAUUGACCGAGUGCCCACAAUAUGGUAGGCACUGAUAGAAUUGACAGAGGGGAAAAAGAAUUAAACGGAAGGAAAUUAAGAAGAGGAAGAAGGAGAAGGCGUCAGAGAGGAGGAGGGGCGAGAAACCAAAAGGAGAUUGUAACUUCAAAACACCUCAUUAGGAAAAUGGGGCAGUUAAGGAAGAACUCACCAAGUAAUCUGCUUAAACUUUAAUUAAUUAUUCAUUUAUAUAUAUUUAUGUGGCACACUUUCUCUAGGGAAACCAAUGUGCUUUGCAAACAUAUUAAAUAAUUAACUCCCUCAAAUCUGAGUGGAAAGGGAGCAAAAUUACUCCAGAAAAGGACCGGCGGGUUGAUGAGUGAUGGAUGCGUCUCGCUUUGAAGAGGCGAUCCUGUGUGAUACCCACCAGAGACCGCAUAACAAAAGACCUCUUCUGGGGGGUAACUAUGGGUACUAUGGUGAUCCCUCCCCCCACCUUCCAGAAGAAGCAGCUUUUGCUUAUACAGAUAAUGAUGCUACGGAGAGAGACAAACAGGAAGACACAUAAAUUGAUAUGAUACAGAAAUCCAGUAUAUUUUGAGGAAGGGUGCUAUUAGAAGAAAGUCAAAUGGAGUGCAUUUUUAAAUAAAAUACUGCCUUUGAGACAAAAGUUAAAGUUAGGACGUAUUUUGAACCAAGAACACUGAACAUGGCAUUAAGUAAAACGAAAUUGCAAAGGCCAAAUGAUGAGCAGCAACAUUUAGUAAGUUGUGUUUAAACAGAUGUUGACUUCCUGAAAUUACAUCCUCAAUGCAUCGUUGACAGGACACUAUUUAAAAAAAAAAAAAAUACCUUUAGCACAAGUGGUUUCAACAUU